rnacentral:rRNA from 1 species
GAGUGAAAUAGAUCCUGAAACCGUAUGCGUACAAGCAGUGGGAGCCUACUUUGUUAGGUGACUGCGUACCUUUUGUAUAAUGGGUCAGCGACUUAUAUUCUGUGGCGAGCUUAACCGUAUAGGGGAGGCGUAGCGAAAGCGAGUCUUAACUGGGCGACCAGUCGCAGGGUAUAGACCCGAAACCGGGCGAUCUAUCCAUGGCCAGGGUGAAGAUUGAGUAACAUCAAUUGGAGGCCCGAACCCAAGUAUUUUGAAAAAUGCUGGGAUGAGCUGUGGAUCGGAGUGAAAGGCUAAUCAAGCCCGGAGAUAGCUGGUUCUCCUCGAAAGCUAUUUAGGUAGCGCCUCACGUAUCACCGCUGGGGGUAGAGCACUGUUUCGGCUAGGGGGUCAUCCCGACUUACCAACCCGAGGCAAACUCCGAAUACCAGUGAGUGCAGCGUGGGAGACACACAGCGGGUGCUAACGUCCGUUGUGAAAAGGGAAACAACCCAGACCGUCAGCUAAGGUCCCAAAAUCCUGAUUAAGUGGGAAACGAUGUGGGAAGGCAUAGACAGCUAGGAGGUUGGCUUAGAAGCAGCCACCCUUUAAAGAAAGCGUAAUAGCUCACUAGUCGAGUCGGCCUGCGCGGAAGAUGUAACGGGGCUCAAACCAGGUACCGAAGCUACGGGUUCAACGUAAGUUGAGCGGUAGAGGAGCGUUCUGUAAGCCUGUGAAGGUGAGUUGAGAAGCUUGCUGGAGGUAUCAGAAGUGCGAAUGCUGACAUGAGUAACGACAAUGGGAGUGAAAAACUCCCACGCCGA